UAUAUAUGUGUGUGUCGAAAAUCAAUGUAGACAGCAGUUUGAAAUGUUUCACCAAAAAGGAAAACUAUAAUCAUCACUAAAUGUGACUAGGGUGUUAGAAACACCUACAUUGCUACAUAUAAGGGCUAACAUGCUCUAAUGGUGUAGUC